rnacentral:rRNA from 1 species
AGAGUUUGAUCCUGGCACAGAACGAACGCUGGCGGGCGUGGAUAAGACAUGCAAGUCGAGCGCUGAUUACGAGGUAGCAAUAUUUCGUGGUCGGAGCGGCGCAAGGGUGCGUAACACGUGGGUAAUCUGCCAUGAAGUUUGGAAUAACUCGCUGAAAGGCGAGCUAAUGCCGGAUGUGAAAGCUGGGAGGCAUCUCUUGGUUUUCAAAGCUGGGGACCGUAAGGCCUGGCGCUUCAUGAUGAGCCCGCGGCCUAUCAGCUAGUUGGUAAGGUAACGGCUUACCAAGGCUAAGACGGGUAGCUGGUCUGAGAGGACGACCAGCCACACUGGAACUGAGACACGGUCCAGACACCUACGGGUGGCAGCAGUCGAGAAUUUUUCACAAUGGGCGCAAGCCUGAUGGAGCGACGCCGCGUGGGGGAUGAAUGGCUUCGGCCCGUAAACCCCUGUCAUUUGCGAUCAACCGUUAUUGUUUAAGAGAUGAUAACCUGAUAGUAGCGAAAGAGGAAGGGACGGCUAACUCUGUGCCAGCAGCCGCGGUAAUACAGAGGUCCCAAGCGUUGUUCGGAUUCACUGGGCGUAAAGGGUGCGUAGGUGGCGAAGUAAGUCGGAUGUGAAAUCUCCGAGCUCAACUCGGAAAUGGCAUUGGAAACUGCUUUGCUCGAGGGUUGGAAGGGGGACUGGAAUACUUGGUGUAGCAGUGAAAUGCGUAGAUAUCAAGUGGAACACCAGUGGCGAAGGCGAGUCCCUGGACAACUCCUGACACUGAGGCACGAAAGCUAGGGGAGCAAACAGGAUUAGAUACCCUGGUAGUCCUAGCUGUAAACGGU